rnacentral:rRNA from 1 species
AUGACAGGACUAGUGCACAAUAAGGAUGGUUUGUCUUGGUGGAUCUCGGUGGUUUAUGGACCGCAAGGAGAUGAUCUGAAAUUGCAGUUCCUUGUGGAUUUGCAACAUCGAAGGGCCACAUGUCCAGGGCCAUGGAUGGUGCUUGGUGACUUUAAUAUGAUCAUCAAUGCCACGGAGAAAAACAACUGUAACUUGAAUCAGCGUAUCAUGAGAAAAUUUAGGGAGUUCAUAGAGGAAAAUGAGCUAAAAGAGCUCUAUAUGCAUGGAAGGAGGUUUACUUGGACUAAUGAAAGGGAUGACCCGGUGAUGACAAAGAUUGAUCGUGUGCUGGUAACCGUGGACUGGGAGCUCAUGUUUACGGACAACCUGCUCCAAGCUUUGUCUACCAACGUGUCAGACCAUGUGCCAUUACAUCUAUCUACCUCUGCACCUUUCUGCCAUCAUAAGAGGUUUAGGUUCGAGAUCUACUGGACCAAGCUUGAUGGAUUUGAGCAAGCGGUGAAGGAUGCCUGGGUUUGCAAUGACAGUAUUGUUAAUCCAUACAAGCGGUUGGAUGCCCUUCUAAGGAACACGGCCAUGGCUUUGCAAGCAUGGGGAGAUAAAAAGACGGGAAAUAUCAAGUUGAACAUGGCUGUGGCAAACUACGUGAUCCUCAGACUUGAUUGUGCGCAAGAACACAGACGGCUAUCUCAUGAGGAGCUUUAG